UACGUAGGGUGCAAGCGUUGUUCGGAAUCAUUGGGCGUAAAGCGCGUGUAGGUGGCUAGUUAAGUCGGGUGUGAAAUCCCUGGGCUCAACCGAGGAAGUGCACUCGAAACUAGCUGGCUAGAGGAUGGUAGAGGAAGGUGGAAUUCCAAAAGUAGAGGGUGAAAAUUCGUAGAUAUUUGGAGGAAUACCGGCGGCGAAGGCGGCCUUCUGGGCCAUUCCUGACACUGAGACGCGAAAGCGUGGGAGCAACAGG
rnacentral:rRNA from 1 species